rnacentral:rRNA from 1 species
AAGGGACUGGCUUUUGUUGGUCCUGGAUGAGUGGCGAACGGGUGAGUAACACGUGAGUAACCUGCCCCCUUCUUCUGGAUAACCGCAUGAAAGUGUGGCUAAUACGGGAUAUUCUGGGUCUGUCGCAUGAUGGAUCUGGGAAAGAUAUUGUUUCGGUGGGGGAUGGGCUCGCGGCCUAUCAGCUUGUUGGUGGGGUGAUGGCCUACCAAGGCGGUGACGGGUAGCCGGCCUGAGAGGGUGGACGGUCACACUGGGACUGAGACACGGCCCAGACUCC